rnacentral:snRNA from 1 species
CACCUCUUGCUUCUGGACAAAAAUGAGGAUAAGACUUUCGCCUUUUACUAAAGUCUUCCGUGUCCAGGAGCGCAAAAUGAGUCUGUAGACUAAUUUUUGCAAGUUCCGUCUUCGGACCG